GACAGAGGUGCCAAGCGUUAGGCGGAAUCACUGGGCUUAAAGCGUGUGUAGGCGGGUCGUUAAGUGUCUUGUGAAAUCCCCCGGCUCAACCGGGGAAUGGCUGGGCAUACUGGCGAUCUUGAGCAGUCUAGGGGCAGAUGGAACAGACGGUGGAGCGGUGAAAUGCGUAGAUAUCGUCUGGAACGCCGAAGGUGAAAACAGCUCGCUGGGGCCGCGCUGACGCUGAGACACGAAAGCCAGGGGAGCGAACGGG
rnacentral:rRNA from 1 species